AGAUCCUUUGCCAAUAAAAAGACAAACAAUAGAAAAUUCCUACAGAUUAAGAAUACCAACCAAGAUUUCAGUGAACUUACUUGCUUCAGCUCUGGGAGAACAGUUAUGACAUGGUGCUGAAUUACAUCAGUGAGGAACUAGAGCUUUAACCAAACUUGAGUAAGAACUCCCUGACUUGGAAACACUCAAGUUUCCCACACAUGACUGGAUGGCCCUGGCCACACUGGGAACGGAAUGGGGGCCUCCCAUUGGAACUCAGGGUGGAGGGGGAAGCUCGACCAGCUAUUGUGGCCCCCACUUCCAUUGACAAACCCUGAGAUGCCAUGUAUGCAGCUCG
rnacentral:lncRNA from 10 species